GACAGAGGUGCCAAGCGUUAGGCGGAAUCACUGGGCUUAAAGCGUGUGUAGGCGGAAUUGUAAGUACCUUGUGAAAUCCCACGGCUCAACCGUGGAACUGCUCGGUAUACUGCUUUUCUUGAGCCACUUAGGGGCUGUCGGAACAAACGGUGGAGCGGUGAAAUGCGUAGAUAUCGGGAGGAACACCAGAGGCGAAGGCGGCUUUCUGGCCUGUAACUGACGCUGAGGCGCGAAGGCUGGGGUAGCGAACAGG
rnacentral:rRNA from 1 species